rnacentral:rRNA from 1 species
AUUGAACGCUGGCGGCAGGCCUAACACAUGCAAGUCGAACGAGUGGCGGACGGGUGAGUAACGUCUGGGAAACUGCCUGAUGGAGGGGGAUAACUACUGGAAACGGUAGCUAAUACCGCAUACUAUCGGAUGUGCCCAGAUGGGAUUAGCUAGUAGGUGGGGUAAAGGAUCACCUAGGCGACGAUCCCUAGCAGGUCUGCGAGGAUGACCAGCAACACUGGAACUGAGCCACGGUCAAGACUCCUACGGGAGGCAGCAGUGGGAAAUAUUGCACAAUGGGCGCAAGCCUGAUGCAGCCAUGCCGCGUGUAUGAAGAAGGCCUUCGGAUUGUAAAGCACUUUCAGCGGGGAGGCGUUACCCGCAGAAGAAGCACCGGCUAACUCCGUGCCAGCAGCCGCGGUAAUUC